UCUCCCCCUCCCUCCCUGCUGAAGUUGUUUCUCUCUGUCCACCAUAUGGGUUCUGGGUAUUGAACUCAGGUCAUUGAGCUUAACAGCAAGCUGCUGGAACAUGUUUGGAGAAGUUGAUAUUGGAUUUGUGGACAGUGUCCAAGGAGACCUCAAAUAAAGGGUUGGAAUGGGAGUUAAAAAUAGCAGAGUUUAAAAAGUCAUCUUCAUAGGGAUGAGGAGAGGGAGGUGUAAAUGAUAUGGAAGCCCUCUGGAGGAUGUCUUGGGGCAAAAGGUGUGAAAGCAGGAAAUAGACUUAAGCACCCUCGGAAACCUCUCUAGGUUGGACAAAGAGGAAAGUAGCAGCCCUCAGCAGCAUUCCAGAACUCCGUUUGGGGCUUAAUUUGGAUCCCAAGCAUCCCUCUCGAUUCUCCAUCCUCAGAUAUGAUGAGCCACCCUUUCCCUCCUGAUUUCAUUCCGGAAGCAGUUACCUCUCUCAUCUUCUCUAUUCCCAGAGUGAAAAUGUAGGAGAUGACGAUCCAUUCCUGAGUGGAAGGCCAGCGCUCCAUCUUCACUAACACAAUGUAAUUGAAGAGCAUCAGGUAUCCGAUAUAUGCCAGCUGCAAGAAAAUACAAGACAGGACUCUAACUGCAGAGGCCUGGGAGCCAUGCCCUGGGCAAGACCACUGCAUGGCAAUGCUGAGCAAGAUCAAGAUGUGGACUCUCUCAGCUGUUCCUGCCAUGAUGCCUUCACUCCAUCAUUGUGGACUCUCACCCUCUGAAGCCACAAGCCGAAUUAAAUGCUUUCUUCUAUAAAGAAGGCUUGGCCAUGGUGUUUUGUCACAGCUAUAGAAAAAUAACUAAGCUAGCUUCUCAAAGCAUGGUGUUUGAAGCAGUGUGGUCCAGGUUUCUGUGAUCAUUAGAGACACCUGGGGCUUUUGGUAAUGGCCUCCCCACUACUUCCACAGACUUGAUUCAGUUGGGUCCAUGAUCGAUCCUUGAAUUGGGGUUUCUAAUAAAUCCUUCUCUAUUGUGGGCAUUUAAAAAAUAGUGGGCUAAAACUCACUACUCUCUGUUCUGAGUGAGGGCCUUUUAACUCUAGCUGCUCAUGACAAUGACCUGGGGAGCUUUAAUGUAGUACCCAGAGGGAUGACAGAGGAGCUCUGAGGGUUGAGGCUAGGUGUGAGCAUGUUUUUAAAGUGUUCCAACAGAUGGACAAUGACACAUGCCUAUAAUCCCAGUCCUUGAUAGGUGGAGGCAAGGUAAUCAGGAGUUUGAGGAAAACUUGAGUGAGACCAUGGUUUAAAACAAACAAACAAACAAACAAACACCAAGCCAAAACCAAAAGUGUAAUGGGUGAUUCCAAUGAUCUUGAUCUGGAGGUGCCAAGGCUGAGAGACACUGGCCAGGGCACUUGCGAUGAAAAAGCAUUUGGGGCUGAAAAUUGCCUGAGUUGAGUCAACGGGGAGCAAGAGAA